GAAGAGGGUGGUUGGUUUUUGGGCGCAGAAGCGAAAGAGAGAGAGAGGAGAAGAGAAGAGUGGGUGGGAGAGAGCACGGUGAGAGAAACAGAGAGACCCCGCCGUUUCUUUGCUUCAAAUCCGAUACCAAGGGAAAACCCUCUUCUUCUCUUCUCUUUUAAGUGGAUUCAUCGUAAGCGUUCUGUCCUACACCUCCCCACUUUCUGCCUCCCCUGUUCUCCAUUUCCCUGCUCUAAAAAUCUCAUCUUUUCCAUCGAUCUCUAAUGGUCUUUUGAAACCGCAGGGGAAUCUGAGCACAGUGGCCUCGUUUCCGCGUUUUCCCUCUCUUUUCAUCAAAAAGAUUGGAUCUUGAGAUGGAGAAGGAGAUGAAGAGCCAGAGGGGGCCGAGGGGAGCUUCGGAGCCCGAUUUCCUGUUGCAGUGGGGGAACCGGAAGCGCCUCCGCUGCGUCAAGGUGAGAGACGAGGGCUCCCUGGCCAAAUCCGACGGCCAGAAGAGGACCACCACUCGCGUGAGCCGCCGCGUCAUCGGAGGGGAGAAAGGCUUCCCGUCGCCGCCGCCCGUCCGUCACCCCACCCCUCUCCACCAAAGGAAGUCGGAAUCGGCGGGGAGCGAAAACGGGAAGUCGGCGUCGCCGUCCUCCUCCCCGGAGAAAGAGGACCGGUUCUACACGACGAGGGGCUCGGCUGCGGGGUGCGAGGAGAACGGAGGAGCUGGAGGGGAGGAGAGAAAGGCGAUGGUUUUGCCAAGGUUCUUCGUGUCCUUGUCCAACAAAGAGAAGGAGGAGGAUUUCAUGGCUAUGAAGGGGUGCAAGCUCCCACAGAGACCCAAGAAGAGGUCUAAAUUGAUCCAAAAAUGCUUGCUUUUGGUCAGCCCGGGGGCAUGGCUAUCGGAUCUCUCUCAGGAGAGGUAUGAGGUCAGGGAGAAGAAGAGCUCAAGAAAGAGAAGGAGAGGAUUGAAGGCUAUGUGUAUGGAGAGUGAUUCCGAAUGAUUCAAAGAGGACGAGAGGGAAUUUGCUGUAUUAGGUUUUAAAAGAGAUUAGAAAUCUCUCAUCACGUCUAUAUUUUUUCUCCUUUCUCUUCUCUGGAUGAGGUAAACACUGUACACGCGAUGUUGCAUGGAUGAUUUGGAUUAGAUUCGAGUUUUUCUGUUUCUUUUUUUUUUUACAAAUUUUUGUGAUGAUUGUGAGGAUGGGAUUAUAUGUCUCUGUUGAUUGAAAGGAAUCUCUCUCUCUCUCUUGAGAGGCAAAAACUAAGAUGAUUCACUUGCAUAACUAAUGAGAUGUAUGUGGGAGACAUGCAUGGAAAGCUAUGGUGAAUGGAUGCAAAUCAGCAUUUGCUUGUGUGGACAUGGAUACGUGUGCAGUUGCUGCCACAUUUUAGGCUUCAUGCAUCUGUGCUACCUUGUAGAUCAAUUGAACUCUUGCUUCAAGGAGAUAAGAAACAAGACGAGUGUACUGGAUUGAAGUAGAGUUUCAUUUAACAUAUUAUUAGGUAUUACAGAACCAUGCUUCUUGGAACAUCAUUGUAGUUAACCAUACUUUAUGUUCAUGUGGAAGUGCUGUGGAAUUGUAGAUGAAAUGAAGCUAGAGAUUUGUCA